CGCGUAGGCGGUUUGCUAAGUUGAAUGUGAAAACUCUGGGCUUAGCCCGGAGCCUGCAUUCAAUACUGGCAGGCUAGAGUUCUGGAGGGGAUAGCGGAAUUCCUGGUGUAGCGGUGAAAUGCGUAGAUAUCAGGAGGAACACCGGUGGCGAAGGCGGCUAUCUGGACAGAGUCUGACGCUGAGGCGCGAAAGGCUAGGGAGCAAACA
rnacentral:rRNA from 1 species